rnacentral:rRNA from 1 species
UACGAAGGGGGCUAGCGUUGCUCGGAAUUACUGGGCGUAAAGGGUGCGUAGGCGGGUCUUUUAAGUCAGAGGUGAAAUCCUGGAGCUCAACUCCAGAACUGCCUUUGAUACUGAGGAUCUUGAGUUCGGGAGAGGUGAGUGGAACUGCGAGUGUAGAGGUGAAAAUUCGUAGAUAUUCGCAAGAACACCAGUGGCGAAGGCGGCUCACUGGCCCGAUACUGACGCUGAGGCACGAAAGCGUGGGGAGCAAACAGG